rnacentral:rRNA from 1 species
GUGACUGCGUACCUUUUGUAUAAUGGGUCAGCGACUUAUAUUCUGUAGCAAGGUUAACCGAAUAGGGGAGCCGGAGGGAAACCGAGUCUUAACCGGGCGUUAAGUUGCAGGGUAUAGACCCGAAACCCGGUGAUCUAGCCAUGGGCAGGUUGAAGGUUGGGUAACACUAACUGGAGGACCGAACCGACUAAUGUUGAAAAAUUAGCGGAUGACCUGUGGCUGGGGGUGAAAGGCCAAUCAAACCGGGAGAUAGCUGGUUCUCCCCGAAAGCUAUUUAGGUAGCGCCUCGUGAAUUCAUCUCCGGGGGUAGAGCACUGUUUCGGCUAGGGGGCCAUCCCGGCUUACCAACCCGAUGCAAACUGCGAAUACCGGAGAAUGUUAUCACGGGAGACACACGGCGGGUGCUAACGUCCGUCGUGAAGAGGGAAACAACCCAGACCGCCAGCUAAGGUCCCAAAGUCAUGGUUAAGUGGGAAACGAUGUGGGAAGGCCCAGACAGCCAGGAUGUUGGCUUAGAAGCAGCCAUCAUUUAAAGAAAGCGUAAUAGCUCACUGGUCGAGUCGGCCUGCGCGGAAGAUGUAACGGGGCUAAACCAUGCACCGAAGCUGCGGCAGCGACGCUGAUGCGUUGUUGGGUAGGGGAGCGUUCUGUAAGCCUGUGAAGGUGUGUCGUGAGGCAUGCUGGAGGUAUCAGAAGUGCGAAUGCUGACAUAAGUAACGAUAAAGCGGGUGAAAAGCCCGCUCGCCGGAAGACCAAGGGUUCCUGUCCAACGUUAAUCGGGGCAGGGUGAGUCGACCCCUAAGGCGAGGCCGAAAGGCGUAGUCGAUGGGAAACGGGUUAAUAUUCCCGUACUUGGUGUUACUGCGAAGGGGGGACGGAGAAGGCUAUGUUGGCCGGGCGACGGUUGUCCCGGUUUAAGCGUGUAGGUGUGUGUUCCAGGUAAAUCCGGUUCACUUUAACACUGAGGCGUGAUGACGAGGCACUACGGUGCUGAAGCAACAAAUGCCCUGCUUCCAGGAAAAGCCUCUAAGCAUCAGGUAACAUCAAAUCGUACCCCAAACCGACACAGGUGGUCAGGUAGAGAAUACCAAGGCGCUUGAGAGAACUCGGGUGAAGGAACUAGGCAAAAUGGUGCCGUAACUUCGGGAGAAGGCACGCUGACAUGUAGGUGAAGUGAUUUACUCAUGGAGCUGAAGUCAGUCGAAGAUACCAGCUGGCUGCAACUGUUUAUUAAAAACACAGCACUGUGCAAACACGAAAGUGGACGUAUACGGUGUGACGCCUGCCCGGUGCCGGAAGGUUAAUUGAUGGGGUCAGCGCAAGCGAAGCUCCUGAUCGAAGCCCCGGUAAACGGCGGCCGUAACUAUAACGGUCCUAAGGUAGCGAAAUUCCUUGUCGGGUAAGUUCCGACCUGCACGAAUGGCGUAAUGAUGGCCAGGCUGUCUCCACCCGAGACUCAGUGAAAUUGAACUCGCUGUGAAGAUGCAGUGUACCCGCGGCAAGACGGAAAGACCCCGUGAACCUUUACUAUAGCUUGACACUGAACAUUGAGCCUUGAUGUGUAGGAUAGGUGGGAGGCUUUGAAGUGUGGACGCCAGUCUGCAUGGAGCCGACCUUGAAAUACCACCCUUUAAUGUUUGAUGUUCUAACGUGGACCCGUAAUCCGGGUUGCGGACAGUGUCUGGUGGGUAGUUUGACUGGGGCGGUCUCCUCCUAAAGAGUAACGGAGGAGCACGAAGGUUGGCUAAUCCUGGUCGGACAUCAGGAGGUUAGUGCAAUGGCAUAAGCCAGCUUGACUGCGAGCGUGACGGCGCGAGCAGGUGCGAAAGCAGGUCAUAGUGAUCCGGUGGUUCUGAAUGGAAGGGCCAUCGCUCAACGGAUAAAAGGUACUCCGGGGAUAACAGGCUGAUACCGCCCAAGAGUUCAUAUCGACGGCGGUGUUUGGCACCUCGAUGUCGGCUCAUCACAUCCUGGGGCUGAAGUAGGUCCCAAGGGUAUGGCUGUUCGCCAUUUAAAGUGGUACGCGAGCUGGGUUUAGAACGUCGUGAGACAGUUCGGUCCCUAUCUGCCGUGGGCGCUGGAGAACUGAGGGGGGCUGCUCCUAGUACGAGAGGACCGGAGUGGACGCAUCACUGGUGUUCGGGUUGUCAUGCCAAUGGCACUGCCCGGUAGCUAAAUGCGGAAGAGAUAAGUGCUGAAAGCAUCUAAGCACGAAACUUGCCCCGAGAUGAGUUCUCCCUGAGACUUUAGGUCUCCUGAAGGAACGUUGAAGACGACGACGUUGAUAGGCCGGGUGUGUAAGCGCAGCGAUGCGUUGAGCUAACCGGUACUAAUGAACCGUGAGGCUUAACCUUACAACGCCGAAG